GUUCCACAGAUCUUCUUAUGUGUACGCCUGUGUCUUGCACUCGGAUGCGGAUUUGGAAACGGCCACCCACAUUUGUGACAAAUAUGAACUCCGGGGCUUUCAUGCCCUGGCGUAUGAUUCUUCNNNNNNNNGUUAUUCAUCUCAACAGAGAUGAAGAGAGAGAGACUUCUAGCGACUUUCUGCGAAAACAGCAGACCAAGAAAAGAUUUGAAAAACCAAAACCAA
rnacentral:misc_RNA from 1 species